AUUGAACGCUGGCGGUAGGCUUAACACAUGCAAGUCGAGCGGAAACGAUGGUAGCUUGCUAUCAGGCGUCGAGCGGCGGACGGGUGAGUAACGCGUGGGAAUUUGCCUAGUAGUGGGGGAUAGCCCGGAGAAAUCCGGAUUAAUACCGCAUAAUCUCUACGGAGUAAAGGUGGCCUCUCCUUGGAAGCUAUCGCUACUAGAUAAGCCCGCGUCAGAUUAGCUUGUUGGUGAGGUAAUGGCUCACCAAGGCAACGAUCUGUAGCUGGUCUGAGAGGAUGAUCAGUCACACUGGAACUGAGACACGGUCCAG
rnacentral:rRNA from 1 species